GACGAACGCUGGCGGCGUGCUUAACACAUGCAAGUCGAACGGAAAGGCCCUGCUUUUGUGGGGUGCUCGAGUGGCGAACGGGUGAGUAACACGUGAGUAACCUGCCCUUGACUUUGGGAUAACUUCAGGAAACUGGGGCUAAUACCGGAUAGGAGCUCCUGCUGCAUGGUGGGGGUUGGAAAGUUUCGGCGGUUGGGGAUGGACUCGCAGCUUAUCAGCUUGUUGGUGGGGUAGUGGCUUACCAAGGCUUUGACGGGUAGCCGGCCUGAGAGGGUGACCGGCCACAUUGGGACUGAGAUACGACCCAGACUCCUACGGGAGGCAGCAGUGGGGAAUAUUGCACAAUGGGCGGAAGCCUGAUGCAGCAACGCCGCGUGCGGGAUGACGGCCUUCGGGUUGUAAACCGCUUUCGCCUGUGACGAAGCGUGAGUGACGGUAAUGGGUAAAGAAGCACCGGCUAACUACGUG
rnacentral:rRNA from 1 species